GCAAUAUUCCAGCCCUGUAAGAUUAAAAAAGAGCUUUCUUCCUCUGUAAUCAGACGUGGAUUAAAUUUAUUAAAGGUGCAGUAUCUCUUUUUUAAAUGACACUUGCCAGUCAUACUGAAUUCUAAUAACCCAUUUGAAGGUGUUGUAUCCUUCUGCUUUUAUUUUAUUUUAUUUUAUUUUAUUUUAUUUUAUUUUAUUUUAUUUUAAUUUUUAAAGCUGAAACCAAGGCAUUAUAAAAUGAGUGGGAUAACUUAUUUGGCUGGCAAAGAAACUUGAUGUUAACAGGAGAAGGGCAGCAGACAAAAGAAAGCAGCUGAAACAUUAAUGAAUGAUAGUAUUGAGCAAUGAAACAUACAAAGAAGCAUGCAACGAGGAAAUUCAAUGAGGAAAAUACAAUUUAAAGACCAAAGUAUAUCUACUCAGUGAAAUGUGCAACCAGCAAAGAAAGAAAGGCUUAAAAAUCAAGUGCACUUGCAGAGUGUUCCAACUGAAGAAGGUGAGGGGACGAGAGGGAAGCUCAACUAAUACAGCAGGACCAAAACAGUGAAAACAUCGAAGCAUAUGAAAGUUUCUGGGGGUGCAAUGUUCAACAUCAGGCUGAGGCAAACCUAGGAAGCCCUUCCCAGCCCAAAAGCCUUGGUAGAGCUGGGGCUGUGCUGGGCUGUGGGCACAAGGCUGGGAGGGUGUCGGGGGGUCUGCAUCCCCGGGCUCCUGUGCAGUGGAGCACUUAACCUCUCCCAGCCGGCUCCACAGAGAGGAAGGUAUGAGUGCAGCAGGGGGAUGGUUAACACUUCCAAAUUCGCAGCUAUGUUUUAGGACUCUUUCCAGCGUUAGUUUCUCUUCAACGUUUUUAUUUUAGGGCUUUCAGUCUUUGCAUUAUGUGUUUUUCCUGUUUGAGGGAGAGAGUAAGAAACUUAAACGAGAAUUCAGAAGCUGGUCCAGGACUCGGCUCCAGCUGGAAAAACACAUGUGCUGGCAUUCAGCUCCUGUAAGCUCCUUUCUGACUAUUUUGAAUGCUGGCAUUGUUACAAUAGGCAGGGGAACGGCCAUGAUAGCCCAGGGUG
rnacentral:lncRNA from 1 species